CUGCUUGCCAGUCAUUAAAAGCUGACCAACAACAGGCAGGCUGGAAAAAAAUAUUGUCAAGAUGACUCCUAAGUUCAAGGAAAAAAAAAUACAAACUGGAAUGCAUCAUGGAGAAGUUUACACCAAAUUAUCAUAGAGCUGCCCUAACCUGGAUCUGGAUUAUUAUGAUAUUCAGUUGUUGUACUUGAUGAAAUUGUUACUUUCUUUAUUAAAUAUUUGUACAGGCUGUUCAAUUUGGUUAUUUUAUCGUCAUUUAACUAAUAAAAGUUUUAGUUAUAUAUUUUG